UCCGAGUUGGUCUAGUGGUCAUGAUUUCCGCUUGUCACCGAGUACGAAGAUUCCGGUUCAACAAGCGCGGGAGACCGGGGUUCGAUUCCCCGACUCGGAG